GUUUGAUCCUGGCUCAGGACGAACGCUGGCGGCGUGCCUAAAACAUGCAAGUCGAACGAGGUCCACCCAGUGGCAACACUGGUGAAGACCUAGUGGCGAACGGGUGAGUAACACGUGAGGAACCUGCCCCGAAGACCGGAAUAACCCUCCGAAAGGAGAGCUAAUACCGGAUACCCCCUGGAGACCGCAUGGUCAUCAGAGGAAAUGCUUUUGUGCUUCGGGAGGGCCUCGCGGCCUAUCAGCUUGUUGGUGAGGUAACGGCUCACCAAGGCAUCGACGGGUAGCUGGUCUGAGAGGACGAUCAGCCACACUGGGACUGAGACACGGCCCAGACUCCUACGGGAGGCAGCAGUUAGGAAUCUUGCGCAAUGGGCGAAAGCCUGACGCAGCAACGCCGCGUGGGGGAUGAAGGCCCUCGGGUUGUAAACCCCUUUCAGUCGGGACGAAAAUGACGGUACCGACAGAAGAAGCACCGGCCAACUACGUGCCAGCAGCCGCGGUGACACGUAGGGUGCAAGCGUUGUCCGGAUUUAUUGGGCGUAAAGGGCUCGUAGGCGGUUCGACAAGUCGGGUGUGAAACCUCCAGGCUCAACCUGGAGUCGCCACUCGAAACUGUUGUGACUAGAGUCCGGUAGGGGAGCAUGGAAUUCCUGGUGUAGCGGUGGAAUGCGCAGAUAUCAGGAGGAACACCAGUGGCGAAGGCGAUGCUCUGGGCCGGUACUGACGCUGAGGAGCGAAAGCAUGGGGAGCGAACAGGAUUAGAUACCCUGGUAGUCCACGCCGUAAACGAUGAUAACUAGCUGUCCGGGCACUUGGUGCCUGGGUGGCGCAGCUAACGCAUUAAGUUAUCCGCCUGGGGAGUACGGCCGCAAGGUUAAAACUCAAAGGAAUUGACG
rnacentral:rRNA from 1 species